CCUACGGGAGGCAGCAGUGGGGAAUAUUGCACAAUGGGGGAAACCCUGAUGCAGCAACGCCGCGUGAGUGAAGAAGUAUUUCGGUAUGUAAAGCUCUAUCAGCAGGGAAGAGAAUGACGGUACCUGACUAAGAAGCCCCGGCUAACUACGUGCCAGCAGCCGCGGUAAUACGUAGGGGGCAAGCGUUAUCCGGAUUUACUGGGUGUAAAGGGAGCGUAGACGGCUGGCCAAGUCUGAAGUGAAAGCCCGGGGCUUAACCCCGGAACGGCUUUGGAAACUGGCCGGCUGGAGUGCGGGAGAGGCAGGCGGAAUUCCUGGUGUAGCGGUGAAAUGCGUAGAUAUCAGGAGGAACACCGGUGGCGAAGGCGGCCUGCUGGACAGUAACUGACGUUGAGGCACGAAAGCGUGGGGAGCAAACAGGAUUAGAUACCCGGGUAGUC
rnacentral:rRNA from 1 species